UACGUAGGGGGCGAGCGUUGUCCGGAAUGAUUGGGCGUAAAGGGCGCGUAGGCGGCCCGUUAAGUCUGGAGUGAAAGUCCCGCUUUCAAGGUGGGAAUUGCUUUGGAUACUGAUGGGCUCGAGUGCAGGAGAGGAAAGCGGAAUUACCGGUGUAGCGGUGAAAUGCGUAGAGAUCGGUAGGAACACCAGUGGCGAAGGCGGCUUUCUGGACUGAAACUGACGCUGAGGCGCGAAAGCGUGGGGAGCAAACAGG
rnacentral:rRNA from 1 species